UCUUUCCUCUGAAUUGGAUUUUUAGAUAAAUUGCUUGUUUGCCGCGAAUUUGCUGGAGGAAGAAGUUUCUCGCUCGUGGUAUACUAAAGAUGGAAGAACGCAGUAUACUGGUAUUGUAAUGAGUAUAGAUUGAUUUGAGCCGAAUAAAUGCGAUAAUCGGCACGGAUCAUACAUUCUUUAGUUAAGAUGUAAUUUUGAGUUGGAUAAGAUGAAUCAGACUUCAGAUCUUCAAUCGAUAACGAACAGUUGGAUAUAAUGAUUAUCUGCAUUUGUAUGCAAAGCGCUUCAUUGUUUGAAGUGAAGCGGUCAAAAAGUUUUAACUUUUAAUCGCGUUUGGUUAACUUUUCUUCAUUGUUUUACCAUAAUCAUGGAUUUUUGAUUAAACUACAAAGACAUACUUCAUAACUGAUAAAAUAGAUACACCAGUAAACUAUAACAGCGUUUCAUAUAAUGCAAUAUAAUACAAAUUUGUAGUUGCAUUCGAAAUGUUAUACCUUUUUUCCUCCUCUCCUUUCUUCAUCAUGGUCAGGAGAAGUUUGGAAAAUGCAAGCACGCUAGCCUGAAAGCUCGAAACCGCGCAAACUACAGUUUAUUUUCUAAUUUUACUCUUUGUUCAGACUAAUAAGUUAUUACACUUAUAAAAACAACCUAUGAAAAUGGUGUGAGUUAAAAACUAGAAUCCUGCUCGAUUACUAGUAAUAUGGAUGGUUUGUAUACUGUUGAAAAAGUCAAGGUUAAAUUAUUGCAAGCUACAGAAGCUACGGCAGUCAUUAUAUUGGAAAGUAAAGCCUCUGAUAUACUUUGCUAGCAUUGUUCAUCGUACGUAAAAACGUGGUAAGGGUAGUGCCUUCAUCAUCGUUGACGAAGUGAGAAUUUUCGAAUUACUAUUAGAUUUUUCUCCCUUGCACGAAAU